CCCCACGCUUCUUCUUCUUCAUUAUCUUUAAAGGCCUAGAAGCUAAGAGCUGAAACCAGCCGAAAUAGACUUCCCCCCACGAUUCUUCUUCUCCAUGAAAACAACCCAAAAGAGCUCCAAAAAGCCAUAGAUAAUCAGCUGAAACGACCCCCAUCUUCUUCAGCUCAAACCCACCAUUGAAGCUGCUCUAAACCAGGCAUAAAACAUGAGCUAAAAGCUGCUCAAACCAACUGGAAAUCGCAGAAAACACAACUGCACAAAAUCACCCAAAAUAGUCCGUCGAGCACACUCCAAAAGGUCGAGGUUGCGAUUUUCAUUUUCGAGUUUGCCGGUGUCGACUUGAGGUUUUCGGUUCGAGGUUCAUCAUUCAGUCGAGUUUGUUGUUCUAAACUUCUGUUCGUGAUUGGAAUUCUUGUUUAAUCAAUUUCAGAACCAUUUUGGGUUAAUUUUCUUGUUUGAGCGACAAGAUGACAAAUACCAAAGAUCGGCUCAAAAAGGAGUGAAAUCUGCCAAGUGUCAAAAGACAACUGAAGUGGGGAACAAAAUGACCUGUGCGGUCCACAAUGAUUUGUCACGCGGCCGCAUAGGAGAGUUCAGAGGCUGGACAAUUUCCAGGUCAACCUGCGCGGUCUGCACUGCUUUGCCACGCGGCCGCGCAGGAUCGUUCAGAGACCAUGCAAUUUUCAAGUCAAGAUGCGCGGUCCACGCUCCUUUCCACGUGGUCCGUGCCCAAGAGUGUCAGAGACUCCGUCAUUCAAGGCAAAAGCUCACGCGGCCGCACACCUAAUCAGUGCGGUCCGCGUGGAAAUGCCCUACGCAGCCGCGCGUCGCAUUUACGCGGUCCGCGUCCCCAAGUGUCAGAAGCAAGAUAUGAAGACCCAAACCCCUACGCGGCCGCGCGUCAUUUGUGCGCGGUCUGCGCCAGACCCUCAGGGGUAUUUUUAUCCGGUUUUUCCUGUGUAGUAUAAAUAGAACAUUUUACUUUUAGGUGGAGUUUUUUUCAGUUUUGAUUUUUUACCAGAUAGCAGCUGAACUCGGAACUUCAUAGUUUUAGUCCAUUUUGGGCAAUUUCUUCUAGUAUUAACGUGGAUUUGAGUAGAUUAACAUUGUAGUUAA